rnacentral:lncRNA from 1 species
AUAGUAUCUUAUUCCUCCCCGUUAUCCAGUUGAGAGUCUUUGUACUGAUUACCAUCUAUUGCAAGGGGAAGCUUCUCUAAAUGAGGGUUGAGAGAUGUCUGAUUUAUGGCUAUAGCAAGGAGGAGUCUUGUGUGUCCCAGGCUAGUGUCAAACUCACUUUGGAAAAGAGGAUGGCUUUGAACUCCUGACCUUUCUCCCUGUGUGUCCCUCCUAUCAAUGAGAUUACAAGUGUAAACUUCUAUGUGUGGCUUGUGACAAUCUUUUCACUAACUAGAUUCAUCUUUCUUCGGAACUAAAGGAGACACACCCUACUAUUAUACUGUAAUCUUGGUCUUUGGCUCCUUCACACACACACACACACACACACACACACACACACACACACACAUCUUGGGCUCCCUGAUCAACAGUCAGUCUGAUGUGAGCUGAAUCUGGUUGCCUGUUAGCUUGCAAGGUUUACAGCAGGCCACCUAUAUACCUCACACCUUCUCAUUGCAAGAGGAGCUUCUUGGAAACUAAAUUACCAGAGACUCUUUCUCAUAGAAAAACCUCAAGGCAGGCAGUGCAGAGAUCUGGAUUCCAGGCCUGGUCUGCCAUUCUCAAGUCCUGAUCCAUCACCUCUCUCUUGGACUUCUUUUCUUUACUUGUCAGGCAAAGUAGUGCUCUUUCCGUUUCAAUGGUCCAAGGUUGUAAAUUCCAUAAAGCAAAAGGGGAGCCCCAAGUGGGGGGAAAGUUCUGGAGUGCUGUUGUGAUGGCUGGUGUAACCUCAGGCCUCUGGGUGAGGGAUACAGGCUUGUGUCUCUGAGUGCAAACUGCUAUCCCUUUGCUUUAAAGAAAGAACGCAAGAGAGCAGCUAUCUGCUUUCACAUACUGGUGUUCAAUCUUUAUCAACACCAGUUAUCUUAACUAUGAUGACUACAGCACUCUCCCUGAGGCCUGACAUUCAGACACAGAGAGGCCCUUGUACUCCCAGAGAGCUGUAGAAUGCUCUGAUAUUUUACAGGCAACUCUUUGUUGUGGAGUUUGGCUUGUGUGUUGUAGUAUGUUAACUGCAAUCCUUGCCUUGACCCUAGCACCUCUUCUGGGUUGUAGCAGCC